UACGAAGGGGGCUAGCGUUGCUCGGAAUCACUGGGCGUAAAGCGCACGUAGGCGGAUUCUUAAGUCGGUGGUGAAAUCCUGGAGCUCAACUCCAGAACUGCCUUCGAUACUGGGAGUCUUGAGUCCGGGAGAGGUGAGUGGAACUGCGAGUGUAGAGGUGAAAUUCGUAGAUAUUCGCAAGAACACCAGUGGCGAAGGCGGCUCACUGGCCCGGUACUGACGCUGAGGUGCGAAAGCUAGGGGAGCGAACGGG
rnacentral:rRNA from 1 species